rnacentral:rRNA from 1 species
GACGAACGCUGGCGGCGUGCUUAACACAUGCAAGUCGAGCGAGGCCCACCUUUCGGGGUGGUGUCCUAGCGGCGAACGGGUGAGUAACACGUGGGCAACCUGCCCCCGGCUCGGGGAUAACCCCAAGAAAUUGGGGCUAAUACCGGAUACGACCGCUGACCGCAUGGUCUGGUGGUGGAAAGAUUUAUCGGCUGGGGAUGGGCCCGCGGCCUAUCAGCUUGUUGGUGGGGUAGUGGCCUACCAAGGCGACGACGGGUAGCCGGCCUGAGAGGGUGGCCGGACAAGCUGGGACUGAGACACGGCCCAGACGCCUACGGGAGGCAGCAGGGGGGAAUAUUGCGCAAUGGGCGAAAGCCUGACGCAGCGACGCCGCGUGGGGGAUGACGGCCUUCGGGUUGUAAACCUCUUUCAGCAGGGACGAAGCCCGCAAGGGUGACGGUACCUGCAGAAGAAGCACCGGCCAACUACGUGCCAGCCGCCGCGGUAA